rnacentral:rRNA from 1 species
GCCAGACUCCUACGGGAGGCAGCAGUGAGGAAUAUUGGUCAAUGGGCGGGAGCCUGAACCAGCCAAGCCGCGUGAGGGAAGAAGGUACAGCGUAUCGUAAACCUCUUUUGUCAGGGAACAAAGGCGGGGACUAGUCCCCGGAUGAGGGUACCUGAAGAAAAAGCAUCGGCUAACUCCGUGCCAGCAGCCGCGGUAAUACGGAGGAUGCGAGCGUUAUCCGGAUUUAUUGGGUUUAAAGGGUGCGCAGGCGGUCUGUUAGGUCGGCGGUCGAAGCCGGGGGCUAAACCUCGCUCCGCCGUUGAAACUGGCGUUCUUGAGUGGGCGAGAAGUAUGCGGAAUGCGUGGUGUAGCGGUGAAAUGCAUAGAUAUCACGCAGAACUCCGAUUGCGAAGGCAGCAUACCGGCGCUCAACUGACGCUCAUGCACGAAAGUGUGGGUAUCGAACAGGAUUAGAUACCCCAGUA